AUUCCAGCUCCAAUAGCGUAUAUUAAUGUUGUUGCAGUUAAAAAGCUCGUAGUUGGAUUUCUGGUUGGACCGCGAUGCCGGACUCGCAAGGGUUCGUGAUUGUUGUGGUUUCCUUCCAUCCUCAGGUUUGCGCGUGCUGGCCUUAACUGGUCGGUGGGUGUGGUCCUGUCGUUUACUGUGAACAAAUUAGAGUGUUCAAAGCAAGGUGUACUUGAAUACAUUAGCAUGGAAUAAUAAGAUAGGACCUCGGUUCUAUUUUGUUGGUUUCUAGAGCUGAGGUAAUGAUUGAUAGGGAUAGUUGGGGGCAUUCGUAUUUAACUGUCAGAGGUGAAAUUCUUGGAUUUGUUAAAGACGGACUACCGCGAAAGCAUUUGCCAAGGAUGUUUUCAUUA
rnacentral:rRNA from 1 species